AUCGCUUCUCGGCCUUUUGGCUAAGAUCAUCCGUAGUAUCUGUUCUUAUCAGCUUAAUAUCUGAUAUGACCCUCAUGGGUCUUACGAUAUUAAACAUAUUUUUGUGAAGCGGUGCUAGGACGGGGCUUGCCCCUCCGGCGCCACGGGUUGUCCUGGUAUUGCACUAACGCCAGGUGCAGCCCACAUUAC